CUCUCUCUGUCUCUCUCUCUCUCUCUCUCUCUCUCUCUCUGUCUCUGUUUUCCUUGAAUUCAUCUUUGAAGGAAUGUCUUUAUAGGCAGUCAUGUGGCCCCCUAGGACCUAGCUGGAAGCGCAAUUCUUGUAAUCUUGAUGCAAGGCAUGCAUUGGGGGCCAUGACUGAAAUCUUGAACAUGUUCGCUGGAAUCUUGAGAAUCUUUGGGUAUCAUCAUUGCAGGAAUCCUAGAUUUUUUGGUUGCGUUAAUCUCGAAUGGGCUCACCAACAUCUUGCAUAUGGUGGUUGAAAUCAUAGGUAAGGUCAUCGGAAUCUUGCUUAUGGUUGCCAAAACAUGUAGAGAGAGGGAGGAGGAGAGUCUUAUUGGGGUAAUGUGAGUGAGAAUUGUGGAGAUAGGAUGAGAGAUAGUAGGAUUGUCUUGGUAUGAAGAGAGAGAAAGGGAUAAGGAAAGGGGAUCAAUGGUGGUGGGGAUGUGUUCAUAUGGAGAAAGAGAGAGAACCAGGGAGAGAGGUCCAGUGGGUUUAAGGCUUUGGAUAUGGUCUUUGAGAUCAGAAAAAUGAACAAAGCUCUAGUUCAAACAGUAGUAGUAUGGCCAUGUGAAGUUUCCAUUGAGUGAGAGGCCUUGACGAAGUCCCCAUGGAGUCAUAGCGAGCAAGAGAGAGUUAUAGCGAGCAAGAGAGUUACAGAGAGCAACAAAGCGAGUUUUGUUUGGCUGUAAAAAAUAGUAGUUUGUUUUAUAGGCGAGAUGUUAUUUAGGACGGAAAUUAAGUUCAAUAGAGAGAAAGAUGGUUUGGAAUGGGAAUUUGUAAUGCAAAUUCGAGGAAGUCCUUGCUACUAGGAAAGUACUCCAUAUUUUAAUUUUCUACUAGGUGGCGCCUCAAGGCAAUGCAGGGGCCUAGGCGCCUCAUACAGGCCAAGACAAGCGUUCCUACAUGGGUCAACUUGAGGUGUUUGCUUCACACCUAAGCUGAGGCACCUUCCUCAGGUUGCAAAUGGCCCAAGGAAGGAACAUGCCUUCGGUCAUGAAUUUUCGUUUUUCUCCCACACUGAGGCUGAGGAAAACUCUAUGGAAAAUCAAAUCCAGAAUAUUUGGAUUUGAUUCUUAGGGAAAUAUCACUAGAGGUUAUUAAAGGAUAUCUUGGGUGAUUUAAAACUCGAUAUUCAUUCAAAACAUUGAGGAUUGAAGAUCGAGCAACAAAGGUGAGUCAUUUUUUGUUAAAGUUCUUAGCAUCUGAGAUCUUUCACGAUGUCUUUGUGGUUAUCUUGCAUGUGUGAAAUGUGAUUCAACUUUUAGCCAAUCACUUGCAAACUUCUGAUUUUAAGAUAAGAAAAGAAGAAGAUGACCUUUAAGUGUUUCAUGCGAGGCCUCUUAACACUGGCUAGUGAUAAUUUUCUUGCCUGGUUCACACUAAUAUUUGUUGUCCUGUCUAGGAAGUUCCAAUCCACAACCCAGUAUAUCUUAUGCUGGGAACAUCCUUUGGCUCAGCUGCAAAGGGCACUGGACUAAAGGCACUUGAAUUUGCUCUCUCAGUCUGUGACUCCNNNNNNNNNNNNNNNNNNNNAACGUACGUACGUAACGUAACGUUAACGUAACCUAACCUACCUACAACUACCGUACUACUUAGUUAGUAAUAUUACUUCUACGUCGUCUCUCUCUCUCUCUCUCUCUCUCUCUCUCUCUCUCUCUCUCUCUCUCUCUCUCUCUCUCUGUUUUCCUUGAAUUCAUCUUUGAAAGAAUGUCUUUAUAGGCAGUCAUGUGGCCCCCUAGGACCUAGCUGGAAGCGAAAUUCUUGUAAUCUUGUUGCAAGGCAUGCAUUGGGGGCCAUGACUGAAAUCUUGAACAUGUUCGCCGGAAUCUUGAGAAUCUUUGGGUAUCAUCAUUGCAGGAAUCCUAAAUUGUUUGGUUGCGUUAAUCUCGAAUGGGCUCACCAACAUCUUGCAUAUGGUGGUUGAAAUCAUAGGUAAGGUCAUCGGAAUCUUGCUUAUGGUUGCCAAAACAUGUAAAGAGAGGGAGGGGAGAGUCUUAUUGGGGUAAUGUGAGUGAGAAUUGUGGAGAUAGGAUGAGAGAUAGUAGGAUUGUCUUGGUAUGAAGAGAGAGAAAGGGAUAAGGAAAGGGGAUCAAUGGCGGUGGGGAUGUGUUCAUAUGGAGAAAGAGAGAGAACCAGGGAGAGAGAGAACCAGGGAGAGAGGUGUUCAUAUGGAGAAAGAGAGAGAACCAGGGAGAGAGGUCCAGUGGGUUUAAGGCUUUGGAUAUCGUCUUUGAGAUCAGAAAAAUGAACAAAGCACUAGUUCAAACAGUAGUAGUAUGGCCAUGUGAAGUUUCCAUUGAGUGAGAGGCCUUGACGAAGUCCCCAUGGAGUCAUAGCGAGCAAGAGAGAGUUAUAGCGAGCAAGAGAGUUACAGUGAGCAACAAAGCGAGUUUUGUUUGGCUGUAAAAAAUAGUAGUUUGUUUUAUAGGCGAGAUGUUAUUUAGGACGGAAAUUAAGUUCAAUAGAGAAAAAGAUGGUUUGGAAUGGGAAUUUGUAAUGCAAAUUCGAGGAAGUCCUUGCUACUAGGAAAAUACUCCAUAUUUUAAUUUUCUACUAGGUGGCGCCUCAAGGCAAUGCAGAGGCCUAGGCGCCUCAUACAGGCCAAGACAAGCGUUUCUACAUGGGUCAACUUGAGGUGUUUGCUUCACACCUAAGCUGAGGCACCUUCCUCAGUUUGCAAAUGGCCCAAGGAAGGAACAUGCCUUCGGUCAUGAAUUUUCGUUUUUCUCCCACACUGAGGCUGAGGAAAACUCUAUGGAAAAUCAAAUCCAGAAUUUUUGGAUUUGAUUCUUAGGGAAAUAUCACUAGAG
rnacentral:lncRNA from 1 species